rnacentral:rRNA from 1 species
AGCGUAGGCGGUUUUGCAAGUCAGAAGUGAAAGGCUACGGCUCAACCGUGGUAAGCUUUUGAAACUGCAAGACUAGAGUGCAGGAGAGGCAAGUGGAAUUCCUAGUGUAGAGGUGAAAUUCGUAGAUAUUAGGAGGAACACCAGUGGCGAAGGCGACUUGCUGGACUGUAACUGACGCUGAGGCUCGAAAGCGUGGGGAGCGAACA